GACGAACGCUGGCGGCGUGCUUAACACAUGCAAGUCGAACGGUGAAAGAGGAGCUUGCUCCUCUGGAUCAGUGGCGAACGGGUGAGUAACACGUGAGUAACCUGCCCUUGACUCUGGGAUAACCUCGGGAAACCGAAGCUAAUACCGGAUACGACCCUCGGAGGCAUCUCCAGGGGGUGGAAAGAAUUUUGGUCAAGGAUGGACUCGCGGCCUAUCAGGUAGUUGGUGAGGUAACGGCUCACCAA
rnacentral:rRNA from 1 species